rnacentral:rRNA from 1 species
UACGUAGGUGGCAAGCGUUACUCGGAAUCACUAGGCGUAAAGCGCAGGUAGGCGGUUGAUAAGUUUCUUGUGAAAGCUCCUGGCUCAACUGGGAGAGGCCAAGGAAUACUAUCUGACUAGAGUGCGGUAGGGGUAACUGGAAUUCCUGGUGUAGCGGUGAAAUGCGCAGAUAUCGAGGAGACACGUGGCAAAGGCGGGUCUCUGGGCCGAUACUGACGCUGAGGCGAGCGAAAGCGUGGGGAGCGAAACAGG